rnacentral:ncRNA from 1 species
UUUAUAGUUGAAGUAAACUGAGGCAGAGAAGGAGCAGAACGGGAUCACUUUACUGCUGUAGGCUAAAAAGAAAGCCUUGAAGAGAAAAUAAGUCUUCCCAGUGCCAGUGCAGAGACCUUCUUGUUCAUGCUGGUUAAAAAAAGGUCAGUCAGNNNNNNNNNNNNNNNNNNNNAUUAAGUUAUUUUUUUUUUAAAAAAAAAAAAAAAAAAAAAAGCUAUGCAAAGCUGGCUGGCCAAUGAUGUACUUCAGCCAAGAAUAAUGGAAUGAUUCUGGCUCAUUUUUUUGUUGGUUUUUGGAAUCAGAGCUAUGAUUAUGAGCAAUAGCUGGGGGCAUUCCUAUUGUGCCACUUGAACUGAAAUUCUUGGACCAGUGCAAGAUGAACUAAAGCAAAAGCAUUUGCCAAAAAUGUUUUAAUUAAUCAAGAA